rnacentral:rRNA from 1 species
UCGGACCCCGGACGUGAAGUCGACGAUGGUCGGUGGGCUGGUUUUGGUAAGCAGAACGGGCGAUUCGGGAUGAACCGGAAGCGGGGAGAAAGGGCCCCGAGAUUGCGUCGACGCGGAUCCCGAAAAGGGCGUCGAUCCGUCGCGACAGCGGGACGGUGGUCAUGGAAGUCGAAAUCCGCUAAGAAGCGUGUAAAAACGUACCCGCCCAACGGAUCGGCCCCGAAAAUUGAUGGCGCUCGAACGCAACCCUCGAACCCCGCCGACGGAGGCUAGGGGAGGCCCCCGUCGAGUAGGCGGACGCGCGGGUCGCUUCGACGCUCCCGCGCGAGCGGGGGGCGGAGCGGCCCGUGGUGCAGAUCUUGGUGGUAGUAGCGAUCACCCAGGCGAGAACCCUGAGGGCCGAAGUGGAGAAGGGUUUCUCGAGAACGGCACUCGCUCGAGAGUUAGUCGAUCCUAAGCUGCCGGCGGCAGCCACGAAACGGUCGAUCGGGCGCGAGCCCGGCAGCCACGACCGGGCAGCGAAAAGGGAAUUGGGAACCUCCUUCCCAAACCCGGAACCGGAACGAGGGCGGC